ensembl:lncRNA C16orf95-DT C16orf95 divergent transcript
ACGAGAGACGCGGGGUCAGCGGCUCAGAGCGCGGCUGUGUGGGGCUGCGGGGCUCCCGCCAUGCCCGCUGGGGUAGGUCCUGCGGACCCCGGCCACUGGAGCCACUCAUCAUUUCCGACGGAUGGGCCGGAGGGGCCGCCGGCCGCCCCAGCCAGGGUCUCGGUAGCCUGCAAGGAGAGAAAGAGGUGGGAGCAGCCCGCGCGGGGCCCUGCGUCUUGCAUAGGCGCUUCUGGUAAAAUCACUCCUUUAUCUCAGAUAAUGAGUUGGCGCUGGAUCGCUGCGUCCUCAGGUGGGGCUCGAAUCGUGACUUUUAGAGAAAUAGGUUUUCUUUCUUUUUUUUUUUUUUUAACAACAUGGGGUUUAAAGGGCGCGGAAUUGGAAGCAGUCGUCACCCGGAGGCCUGGGCGUGCAAGCACCGAAGCUCUGGCUGGCCCUGAGCCUCCCCACCCCACCCGCUCUUUUCGCUGGAACGCGUGUACUUUGGGCAGUUGCUGACGUGGAGACAGGACGUAUGUCUUCAUAUUUUAGUAAAACCCAAUGCCCUCUGCC